ACUCAAAGGAAUUGACGGGGGCCCGCACAAGCAGUGGAUUAUGUGGUUUAAUUCGAAGCAACGCGAAGAACCUUACCAGGUCUUGACAUCGCAUGCAUAGCAUGGAAACAUGUGAAACCCUUCGGGGCAUGCAGACAGGUGGUGCAUGGUUGUCGUCAGCUCGUGUCGUGAGAUGUUGGGUUAAGUCCCGCAACGAGCGCAACCCUUACUAUUAGUUGCUACGCAAGAGCACUCUAAUGGGACUGCCGUUGACAAAACGGAGGAAGGUGGGGACGACGUCAAAUCAUCAUGCCCUUUAUGACCUGGGCUACACACGUAAUACAAUGGCACUUUAACAGAGGGUCGCUACACCGCGAGGUGACGCUAAACCCGAAAAAGUGUCUCAGUUCGGAUUGCAGGCUGCAACUCGCCUGCAUGAAGUCGGAAUUGCUAGUAAUCGCGGAUCAUCAUGCCGCGGUGAAUACGUUCCCGGGCCUUGUACACACCGCCCGU
rnacentral:rRNA from 1 species